rnacentral:rRNA from 1 species
UACGUAGGGGGCUAGCGUUGUCCGGAAUCAUUGGGCGUAAAGCGCGUGUAGGCGGUUCAGUAAGUCUGCUGUGAAAGUCCAGGGCUCAACCCUGGGAUGCCGGUGGAUACUGCUGGGCUAGAGUACGGAAGAGGCGAGUGGAAUUCCCGGUGUAGCGGUGAAAUGCGCAGAUAUCGGGAGGAACACCAAUUGCGAAGGCAGCUCGCUGGGACGUCACUGACGCUGAGACGCGAAAGCGUGGGGAGCAAACAGG